rnacentral:rRNA from 1 species
UAAUACAUGCAAGUCGAACGAACUCUGGUAUUGAUUGGUGCUUGCAUCAUGAUUUACAUUUGAGUGAGUGGCGAACUGGUGAGUAACACGUGGGAAACCUGCCCAGAAGCGGGGGAUAACACCUGGAAACAGAUGCUAAUACCGCAUAACAACUUGGACCGCAUGGUCCGAGUUUGAAAGAUGGCUUCGGCUAUCACUUUUGGAUGGUCCCGCGGCGUAUUAGCUAGAUGGUGGGGUAACGGCUCACCAUGGCAAUGAUACGUAGCCGACCUGAGAGGGUAAUCGGCCACAUUGGGACUGAGACACGGCCCAAACUCCUACGGGAGGCAGCAGUAGGGAAUCUUCCACAAUGGACGAAAGUCUGAUGGAGCAACGCCGCGUGAGUGAAGAAGGGUUUCGGCUCGUAAAACUCUGUUGUUAAAGAAGAACAUAUCUGAGAGUAACUGUUCAGGUAUUGACGGUAUUUAACCAGAAAGCCACGGCUAACUACGUGCCAGCAGCCGCGGUAAUACGUAGGUGGCAAGCGUUGUCCGGAUUUAUUGGGCGUAAAGCGAGCGCAGGCGGUUUUUUAAGUCUGAUGUGAAAGCCUUCGGCUCAACCGAAGAAGUGCAUCGGAAACUGGGAAACUUGAGUGCAGAAGAGGACAGUGGAACUCCAUGUGUAGCGGUGAAAUGCGUAGAUAUAUGGAAGAACACCAGUGGCGAAGGCGGCUGUCUGGCUGUAACUGACGCUGAGGCUCGAAA